AAAAUCAAAUAAUGCAAAUAAACCAAAACUGAAAUUAACUAAUCAACAAACCAUGCAAAAUAAAUCAAACUUAUAUAACCUUAUUAACAUGAACUAAUUGCAAUUAAAUUAAUAUUAAACAAAAGAAUAAAAAUAAAAACCAAUAAAGCAAUCAAAAAUCAAAACUGAUUGUAACCCUAAACAACUAUCAAGCAGAUCAUGUAAUUUCAAUAAAACCAACUUAAACUGAAACCUAAUAUAUUUUAAAACUAUGCAAUUAACUUAAAUUAAUUUUUAAAUAUGCAAUUAAAUUAAAAUAAAUUAAAAUAGAGUUAAACCAAUACUACUAAACCCUAAAAUAAUAAAACUCUAAUCUCAUUUAAUUUCUUAAAACCCUAAUAUAAAAAUCCUAGACCAAAUUAAAUAAACCUUAAAAAUCAUAUGAAAAAGUAAUAACAAAAACUUAUUUAAAUUAAUCACCACUUAAACCAAAAGAAACACGCAAGACUUAAACAAAUAAAUCAUGCAAACUAAAAAAAAUAAGCUUAAACUAAAAUUAAAACCAAUCUUUAGCAAUAUAACUGAAAUCUUUAACCAAUGAUUAAACAUGCAAUUGAAUGAAUUAAACCAAAAUAGAACAAGAACUAAAUAAAUCUAAACAAAAUAAACAAGAAACCAAAAUCAAAUGUAAAUGUUGAACCUUGAAACCAAUAACACUAAACUAAAUUGAAACAAAACCAAAAUUUGAUUAAUUAAAAACUUAAAAAGAAUGUGCUUAAACUAAUCUUGAAAAUCAAAAAAUUAAAAGAACAAUAAAUCUUUAAAACAAAAACUUGAAAACUAAAGAAAGUUUAUGAAAACUUAGAAACAAGAACCUUAAAAAUCACUAAUAAGUUAGUCCGUCACUCCAACCUCUUAUAGCUGUUAUUCUAAGACUUAAUCAUGUAUUUAUAAGCACAAGUAUACCUUAGGUAGGUUCAGCCAUAAAAGGAAGUCAAGAGAACUUUGCAUAGUUUCAGUUGGACUUGAACUCUUCAAUUCAAGAUUGCCUCUUGUAGUUGAAUCCAAGUAGAACUCUUCAAAAAGAAAGCUUAUAAACUAUUCUUGACUUUUAG
rnacentral:lncRNA from 1 species